rnacentral:rRNA from 1 species
GAUGAACGCUGGCGGCGUGGAUAAGGCAUGCAAGUCAUACGAGAAACCCCGGCUUGCCGGGGGAGUAAAGUGGCGCACGGGUGAGUAACGCGUGGGUAAUCUACCCUCGAAUUGGGGAUAACACACCGAAAGGUGUGCUAAUACCGAAUAAGACCACGACCUCCACGGGGGUUGCGGUCAAAGAUGGCCUCUCCUUGCAAGCUGUCGUUUGAGGAUGAGCCCGCGUACCAUUAGCUUGUUGGUGGGGUAAUGGCCUACCAAGGCAACGAUGGUUAGCAGGUCUGAGAGGAAGGCCAGCCACACUGGAACUGGAACACGGUCCAGACUCCUACGGGAGACAGCAGUGGGGAAUUUUGCGCAAUGGGGGAAACCCUGACGCAGCAACGCCGCGUGAGUGAAGAAGGCCUUCGGGUUGUAAAGCUCUGUCAAGUGGGAAGAACCUUUUUCGGCCGAAUACGCCGAGAAACUGACGGUACCGCUGAAGGAAGCACCGGCUAACUCCGUGCCAGCCGCCGCGGUAA